UGUUGGAUAUUGAAGAAGAUGAAGAUGUUAUAAUUAACAGUAGCACAGAUUCUACUCUUGGUUCGCCCACAGUGACUGAGCACUAUAGCUGCAUGGAUGUUGAUCAAAGAACGAAUGAUAGGAGAAAGAUGAUUCUGAAAUGGUUCCUGGUUAUUGGCAAUGUCAUUUUUGAGGUUUUAACAGCCGUUUUCAAUCAGCUUUCGUCUCCACAGAAGUCCCUUUUUGCUCAAAUUGCUAUGUUGACAUCUUUCAUUACCUAGGAUUUUGCAGUAUUGAGAAUUUUUGCAAGUGUGGUUAGGGAAAGUAUGCUUGGAAAAUGAAGGCAAAUUAUUUUGGUUUUAUAAUGUUAGAGAUGGCAAGCCUUUUGGUACAUUUAUGGGUAUCUUUGGACUGGUUUGUGCCACUCUUCAGUUUAUUUAACAGGAGUUGCU